rnacentral:rRNA from 1 species
ACGAAGGGUGCAAGCGUUACUCGGAAUUACUGGGCGUAAAGCGUGCGUAGGUGGUUUGUUAAGUCUGAUGUGAAAGCCCUGGGCUCAACCUGGGAACUGCAUUGGAAACUGGCUUACUAGAGUGCGGUAGAGGGUAGUGGAAUUCCCGGUGUAGCAGUGAAAUGCGUAGAUAUCGAGAGGAACACCUGCGGCGAAGGCGGGUUGCUGGGCUGACACUGACGCUGAUGUGCGAAAGCUAGGGGAGCGAACGGGA